UACGAAGGGGGCUAGCGUUGUUCGGAAUUACUGGGCGUAAAGGGCGCGUAGGCGGCUGUGCAAGUCAGGUGUGAAAGCCCUGGGCUCAACCCAGGAUGUGCACUUGAUACUGCGCAGCUAGAGUGUCGGAGAGGAUGGUGGAAUUCCCAGUGUAGAGGUGAAAUUCGUAGAUAUCGGGAGGAACACCGGUGGCGAAGGCGGCGGCCUGGGUUGACACUGACGCUGAGGCGCGAAAGCGUGGGGAGCAAACAGG
rnacentral:rRNA from 1 species